rnacentral:lncRNA from 1 species
UUUUUUUUUUUUUGUUAAAUUGUGGAUUUGGUAUAUGUUUGUAAAAUCAUGUUCAUUCACAUACUUUUAUUUUCAGUUUGAUUUUGUCUAUUGGUCGAAUACAAUUUUAGAUCAAAAGAAAAAAAAAAAAUGUAUACUAUGCAAUUUGAUUGUAUUUUUAUUUUAGUGAAAACAUUACUCAUAUAUGAGGAAAAUUAUUUAGUUAUUGUAAUCUCCGAAAAAUAAAAUGAAAAAAAGAAAGAAUAAUUAAAGAAAAUAUUAUCGUAUGAUUAAUUCGUUGGAUUAUUGAGAGGCUGAAAAAAUGUAUUAUAAGAAAAAAAUUAUAAGUAUGGACAGUUUUAUGUUUCACAUCUAAAAAAAAAUAAAGGAAAGGAAAAAAAGUGUAAGAAAGUAAAAGAGAAGGAAGUUGAGUUUAAUAUCGUUACAAGAAUUUUGGUUUUUUGUCGAUAGUUGUUUCUGGCAACGUAAAAAAACCUGUGGGUAAAUGUAUGAUGUGCCAACAUAAUUUUAUUGCAUUGACACAUCUUCGUUUUUGUCAACGAAAAUAUAGACGUAGGCAACAUUUUGUGUAUUGUAUAGAACGUAAUACGUGGGCAAAAAGUUGUGUGGUUGUAAGAAAAAUUUUAAGUUGAAGUUCUAUCAACAUUUAUUUUAGUUUAUGAUCACAUAUAUCGUGCGUGCGUAGAUAGAUAUUUUAAAUAUUUGCUGACAUAAUUUAUUUGACAAAACAUUUAUAUUUUUAUGGUGAUGCAAGAUUUAUAUAUGUGGCAUCACAAAUAAUAUGGGCAUACCUAAAUCGUAGCAUUUUGACUGAUUAGAUUUUCGAGUGUUUGUGGUGUUGUUAUAUUUAUAUAAUUCCAGUAGAAUUUUCAAUUUCAAUAUAAAUGACAUGAGAUUGAAACUUAAAACCAUUAGAAUUUAAUACAAUGAUUUUUAAUAAUAUUCAAGCAAUAAAUUUCACGAUUUUUAAUAAUAUUCGAGCAAUAAAUUUCAUAUGUGACUAUUGCAUUAGUUGUUAACAUAAUAAUUGUUCUUCCUUAUUUAUCGAUUUGGAAAGUUAAUUUUAUAAAUAAAUUAUUAAUAAGGUAAAUUUUCAUAAAUAUAAAAAACUAUAAAAAUAUUUACGAUCCCUGCAAAAAAAAAUGAAAAACUUAUCAAGCUGACCAUUUUUUAAAAAAGUAUUUUACCCUUCCUUUUCAUUAUAUUUUUCUCUUUCUCUUGUGCGAUUUUUUGUUGCAAAAUGUUAUUUGGUUCAAUAUCUUGUACCAAAUAUAAAAAAUUGUACCAAAUAUAAAAAAGCUAUUUUUUUAAAAAAAUUCAAAUGGUAAUUUGGUUGUUCAAACUCUUUGUCAUUGUGAAAAAAACAGUUGAGAUAUUGGAUAGCCAAAUCUAAACGAUCAUGUACAAAAAUCUUUAAAAAAAUCACUUCGAUCUAAACGAUCAUGUACCAAAUUUAAACAAAAAAAUCAUUAAGAUUUGGCUACCCAAUUUUAAAACCUUGUGUACCAAAUGUUUUUGAAAUAAAUCGUUUAGAUUUGGUUACUAAUACUACAAGAAAUAAGAUUUUUCCCGACGUAGCAAUACGUCGCUGAAACCCUAACCAACGUCGAGAAAGUUUAUUGCGACGUCGGUAGGCAUGUCAGGGAUACUUUGCCUGACGCGGCUCACGUUAAUGACGGGAAAAAUUUUCCCGAUGCAUGCUGUAGCACGUUGCAGACGGCUUUCGCGACGCGGGGUCGCAAAAGGCUUUAAAUAUAUAUAUUUUUAAUUAUUUAUUUUAUUUAUAUAUAAAAAGAAACCCACUAAAUUCUUCCAUUUAUUUAUGUCCUUGUCAAAUAUGGUUGAUAUUGUUGAUAAAUUAGUCUAUUUCCAAGUGAUUAAUCAUUUUUGGAGAAUGCAAUUGGAUAGAAGAAGGGAGGGAGAUGAGCGAUUCAGAGAAGAAAAACAUGGAGAAAGUAAAGGGAAGGAGAAAUGAAGGGUGGAGAAUAGUGACAGAGGGGAAAAAUGAGGACAAGAACACUUCCGGCGGCGGUAACAGUAACGACGAAGAUUGACGGACGACAAUACGAAUCUCCUCAUCUCCCUCUCUCUUGGUUGAUUUUCUCUUCCUUUCAUUUGCAAUCAGCUCUGUGUUGAAAGGGACAAGAAAUAGAGUGGACUUUCUCCGACGUCGAGCAACCCCAACGUCGCAGAAAGGUUAAAUAAUGAAUUAAUUAUUUAAACAUUUCCCGACAUGCACUUGUCACAUGUCGCGAAAAGGUGACCAUUGUCACUUCAAUAUCUACAUUUACAACUUCCGAUUUCUCCGACGUUUGGUUCUUAUGCGUCGCAAAAAAUGAAGAUAUGAAAUUAAAUUUUAAACUUUCUGCGACAUCUUAUUGAUGUGCGUCCCAAAAAGUGAAUAUAUUAAAUUUAAUUUUCAACUUUAUGCGACGUCUGAUUCUUGUGAGUCGCGGAAAGUGAAGAUAUUAAAUUUAAUUUUAAACUUUUCGCAAUGUCUUAUUGUUGUGCGUCACGGAAAGUGAAGAUAUUAAAUUAAAUUUUAAACUUUCCGUGACGUCUUAUUGAUGUGCAUCCCGAAAAGUGAAUAUAUUAAAUUUAAUUUUACUUUUUCUGCGAUGUCUUAUUGUUGUGCAUCGCAGAAAAUGAAUAUAUUUCCGCGACGUCUGAUUCUUAUGCAUCGCGGAAAGUGAAGAUAUUAAAUUAAUUUUUAAACUUUCCGUAACGUCUUAUUGAUGUGUGUCGCAGAAAGUGAAAAUAUUAAAUUAAAUUUUGAUCUUUUUGCGACGUUUGAUUCAUGUGCGUAGCGAAAAGUGAAUCUAUUAAAUUUAAUUUUAAAGUUUUCGUGACGUUUAGUUUUUAUGCGUCGUGGAAUGUCUUUUCUCGACGUUAUUUCUGGCCGAAAGGUGGUCAACAUCGACGCAUCUUUCGCUGAUAUUAUUUUUGGCGUCGGAAUUAUUCCAAUUUUUUGUAGUGUAAUAAGAAAAUGGAGAUCUCUCGACGCCCAAAAACGUUGGGAGAUAUAUGAAAAAAGUGUUGGGAGAGGAUCUUCUGAUACACAAAAUAUAGCGUCGAGAGAUCCUUUGAGCGUCUGACAUACGUCGUAGAAAGUUGGACCUUUAAUUUGUUUUCUGCACUUUCUGCAACGCACGUCUGAAAGACGUCACAAAAGUCGCGUGAUAAAUUCAAAUGAGAACCAUUUCGUGACGCAACGUUGACACACGUCAUUGAAGGUCAAACUUAAUAAAUUCGUUGUUCUACUUUCCACGACGCAGUGUCCUCCCACGUCGUCGAAAGUUGAAACGUCAACGAAAUGAUUAGACAUUCCGCAACGUGGCCGGGCAGAAGUCGUGGAAAGUGAGCAUUAUUCGCGACGUACCUACCUCCAGUGUCGCGAAUACACGCUUUCCGUGACGUUUUCGAAGACGUCACGAAAAGUUUUGCCUAUUUCAACUAUGAAUUCGUUCACAAACUCAAAUUUCGAGAGAGAAGGAGAGAAAAGCCGUCACCGUUGUCACCCCCACCGCCCACUACCGCUGUCUUGAUGUCGUUUUUUUUUUUUCAUGUAUGUGUUUUUUUUUCUUGCAUUUAUGUGUAUAUGUAAGUAUAUUUUUUUGUAAAUAUAUUUUAUGUGUAUGUGUAUAUUUAAUGUAUAUUUAUUGUGUAAUGUGCAAUGUAUAUGUAUGUAUAGUUUAAUGCAUAUGUAUAUUUUUUUAAGGUUUAGUAAAUUUGAUAUCGAAUUCAAUAAAUACGACUUAUGACGUCGCAAAUCGCUAAGAGGUCUUUAUCAAAUUCAAUCAGUACUACAAUAAAUACGACUUCUGCGAUGCGGACAUCCCAAAACGAUAUAGCGACGCAGAUGUCGCAAAACGCUAUAGCGAUGUAGACAUCGCAAAAUGCUAUAACGACGCAGACGUCGCGGAAGGUUUAUGCGAUGCUGACACGUAAUAUCCUUUCACGAUAUCUACGUCGCAAUAUCCUUUCACGACGUUUGCGUCGCAGAAUGCUUCUACGACGUACUAGGUCAUGCGCGGGGGAAACUUUUCUUGACGUCAGAAUGAGCCGCGUUGCGGAGAGUAUCCCCAAUGUGCUUUUCGCAACGUGGUUGCCGACGUCGUGCACGACGACGCGGUAGCCUUCUGCGACGCAGUUUGGGGUUUUCGACGACGUUGCACUGCGUUGGGGAAGACCUAAUUGUUGUAGUGGAAGUUUUGUCCAAUUUUCUGUGGGGAACCGUUUUAAGAACAAGCAAGCAAACAACUCAGCUCCCCCCACAUAUUGUCAGAUAGGCCACAACUUAAUAACAUUGUAUUCAUCAUAUCUUUAAGAGUUCUAUUUUUACGUUUUGCUAUGUCAUUUUGUUGUGGUGAGUAGUAAGAGGCAAUGAAUUCAUUAAUAUUACCUUUUGAUUCACAAUAUUAUUUGAGAGUUCUAUCAGAGUACUCACCACGUCUAUCUGAUCUUAAUCUUUUUAUUCUUUUGCCUAGCUGUUUUUUAAAUCAGCUAGAUCAGAGGGAAUUAAUUCUAACAAUUCAGUACUUCUCGUCAUAACAGGUUUGUAAGGUUUCUUAAAGUACUUACUUUCUACGCAUACAUGACAUUUACCAGUUUUAUGCGAUUCACAUGCAUUAAUUAUCUUUAAAUUUUUAAGCUUCCUAAUUGAUGCAAAAUUCACGUGUCCUAGUCUACCAUGCCACAGAUCAACAGAUUCAAUUAUGUAGGAAAAAUUAGAAGUAUCUGCAUUCAUAAAAACAAUAAUAAGUACAAAAAGACCAUUAGACAGAUACACCUUGCCAACAAAUUUUUUCGUUUUUGAUGAGGACUACUUUAUCACCUUCCACUAUAAUCUUAAGAUCCGCCCGAUUCAACAAACUUCUAGACACCAAGUUCCUAAGCAGGGAAGGGACAUACAAAACAUUAUUUAGGGAUAAAUUUUUUCCAGAAGUUAAUUUUAAAAUAACCUUCCAUUUUUCGAUUACUCCUGCUGUGGCUAAGUUUCCCAUGAACACGUAUUCUCCAUAAGCAACGUCCUCCAGUCAUGGAGAAGUUCUCGAUUGGUGUUGAAGUGUCUAGAGGCUCCAAUGUCCAGGAUCCAUUCAGUCUUGUUUUCAAUUAUAGGUUGACUUCCACAACAGCAACUAUGACUUCAUCAUUUUGUUCAGCAAGGUUCGCUUGAGGUGCUGAUUUUUGGUUGUUUGGUCUCCCCUUCCUUUGAUUGCAAUGGUAGGAUUUGUGUCCUUCCUUUCUACAGACAUAACAUAUGAUUUUCAUUUUCUUGAUUUUUCCCCUAAGAGCCUCAAACUGUACCUUUUCUGAGGUUCUCCCAUUAGGCCUUUUAUCAUAGUUUGACCUGUCUUUGUUUACAGAGGAAGACUCAAUAGAGUUAGCAUUAACUGAAUUUACAUUUUUGGAAGCUAACUGAUCCUUUAAUCUGUUGGCCUCUUUUGUACGCAUUUGGCUAAUCAAAUCUUGAAGUUUCAGAUCUUUCUUCCGGUGCUUUAGGUGAUUUCAGCAGUGACUCCAGGAGGGAGGGAAUUUUUCGAGUAGAACGUUAGCUUGAAGUAUCUCACACAUCUUCAUACCUUUCAAUAGGACAUUUGCCAUCAUAUUUUCAUACUCAUGUAUAUGUUCCACAAUUGGCUUGUCAUCUGUCAUCUAGAACUGCAACUAUUUUUCCACAACGUACAUCUUUCACCCAGCGUCGUCUCCACCAUAGCGAGACUUAAGAAUGCGCCAGAUGUCCUUGCCAGAUUUUUGGGUUACAAAUAAGUCGAACAUCGGAUCUGACAUAUGGUUCAACAAAUGCCCGCGAACUAUCUUGUUGUCAUUCUUGUACUUCUAGGGAUCAAUUGCAAAUGAUUUCUUUAUUUGGUCGGCAGUGACGAUAAUGGGUCUCGUGGAUAAUUCUGGAUCAGAAGGUGCUGGAGGUAGUCGACUUUGAGGACGUAGUUGACUUUGAGCUAUUAAAAAAAGAUCAACAAUUUUUGGGACCAGCGACGGUAGUUUGUUCCGUCGAGUGGCUCCAAUUUGGACAGGUCUGGUAGGACUUUGUUGGUUUUGAUCGACAUUGUAACUUGCUUUCAGAUUGUUGUAAAAAUAACGUUGAUGACGAUCAAAAUGACUUGUUGCGUCGUGACGAAUCACUGCCCUAAAGCAAAUUCGGCUAGGCCGUGGUGCUAAUCGUAAUGUCGGCUGCUCUCCAAGGUUAACAUCACUCCCUACUUCUGACGUGCACUCACUCGAAAUAGAAAUAGAAACGACGAAGGAACUUGCUCAGAACCACUUCUUUUAGUAGAAAGAAGGAGAGAUUUUAUGGAGUGUAUGAGGAAUGAAUGAAUAAGAACUCGGGAAGGUCUGUAUUUAUAAUGGUGUCCCAUUAUACUGCCAUAUGAAAUUUCGAUCAAAGAAAGGCAAGGAUAAAAGAUUGGCAGUCUCACGAGUGGACGAACAGGGGUGUGAAAUGUGGAAGAACGACAAUUUAGGACGACUGAAGAACUGACCCAAAUUGUGACGCAUGACAAAAUGUAAGUGACUGUGUGACUAAGUUACGGAGCACUUAGGGGAACCAAAAAAAAAAAAAAAAAAUAGGGAUAGUUGCAAAUUUAACUAUUAGAUUCAAAAUAAUUAAGUAUAUACAACUUUUUAAAAGUUUGCAAAUAUAACAAAAUUUGUCAAAUUCUAUCAAUGAUACAAGUCUAUCACCGAUAGACUAUGUUGUAAAUAUUGGUCUAUCACUGAUAGAUCAUACGAGUCUAUCAAUGAUACAAGUCUAUCAACUAUAAUUUUGCUAUAUUUGCAAUUUUUUAAAAAUAUUGUUAUAUUCUUAAUUUUUAUUCCUCAAAUGGCUAUCUAUUACAAUUACCCAAAAAAAAUAUUCGGAUGAGUAUUAAAAGUUACAUCCUUAUUCACGCAGUUGCCCAGCAGCACACGUGUUGACAAGGUCAUAAUAUCACCAUCAACACAAUGUAUAAUCCACUAGUGGUACUUAGCUAUUUAUCCCCAUUUGCUUUUUCCAAUUUGAUGAAUGUGGAACAAUAAGAGAGGUAACUUUGCAAUGGACUAAAGGCUCACAGUCUUUUUCCAACAAAGAAAAGAAAGAAGAGUGAGGGAAUUUUUACGGUCUUCGGGUUUUUAAGGGAGAACUCCUGACUCCAUGCAUAAUGACACUGGGAGAAGUUUUAAAUUUUUUAAAAAUUCAAACUUUAUCUGACGUCGUUAUGCACAACAUCAUGAGAAGUUUACAUUUAAACAGAAUUUAAACUUUUCCCUAGGCCAUGCAUAACGGCGUCGAAAAAAAAAUAAUUUUUUAUUAAUUACCUUAUACUGACGUCGUCUUAUGUCAUGUCGGGAUUGGAAAUAUUUUCCGACAAAACUUCUACGGUGUUGGGAGAAGCUUUUUCUUCCGACGUAUUUUAUCCCGACAUAUUUUGUUAUCCAAGUUUUGUUGUCCAAAUUUAAACUAUAGAAUCUAAACGAGUGUGUAUCAAAUCUAAACGAUCGUGUACCACGUAAUCUUAAAAAAAAAUGUUUAAAUUUUGAUUGGCAAAUCUAAAUGAUCAAAUCUGAAUGGUCCUGUAGAAAAAGAGCUAAAUCUAACCGAUCAUUUACUUAAUAUAUUAUGUUGGUUGGUGGCCAAUUAAUGACAAUCCUUUUUUAUAUUUCUAAUUAUGAGCAUGUGAGUUUUUUCCGUUUUCGAAAUUGUUCUAUACGAUAUAAAUAUUUUAUUAAUUUUUUUAUAUUUUUUAAAAAAACUCACCUUAAUAAUUAAUAAUUAAUAAAAAUGAAAAGGAUUGAUCAAUAAACUAUUGAGGUUCCUAAUUUAAAGAUAAUGAUGGAACUUAAUUUUAUUAAACAUAUGUAUUAUAGUCCGAAGAGAUGAAACGGUCAGUAUUUAAUACAAUCUUUUUAAAUAUUUAAGUAACAAUUUUUUAAAAUAUAAUUUAGGUAAUAAAUUUUUACGAUACAAUUACAAUAAUUAUCAACAUAAUAGUGAAAUUAAUUAGGUAUAUGUUACAAUUUCAACGAUCAUGAUAUAUGAGAUAGAAAAUGUUAGUAUUUAGGCAAUAAAAUUGUUCGUUAACUAUUAACACAAUAGUUUCUGUAUUUUAUUUAUUUUUUUAUUUUUCGAGAAAGAUGAAUAUAAUAGCUAGUUAAUUUUUUUUUUUAUUUACUCAAGUGACACUGAGAGGAUAUUUUGAAAAUAAUAUUUAUAUAUAAUAAAAAAAACCUCAAAUAAGAAUUAAUCAAUAUUUAAAAUACUGCAAAAAUCACCAAAAUAAAAUAAGUAUCUAAAAAAACUCUAACAAAUAACAGAUUUAAUGGACUUAUAGCUUUUUUUUACGGUAAGUUUAACUGAUAAAUAUUUUGUGUUUUAUGUCAUUAGUUAUUUAUAAAUCCAAAGAAUUUUAUAUUAUAUAAUAAUUAUUCCAAAUUUAAUUGACAAAUAUUUUUGUUUUAUACCAUUAGUUAUUUAUAAAUUUAAAGAAUUAUAUAUUAGAUAUUAAAUGAUUCAAUGGUCAUGUGAUUCUUUUUAAGAAAACGAUAAACAUGUCCAAAAAUGUUUUUAAUUAUUAUAGUAGAUGAGUUUAUUGAUAAUAUUCUACAUUAUAAUUACUUCUUUUUAAUUACAAUGAUAAUUAAUAUAAAAAUUAUUGUUGAAAUUGAAAUAAAAGAAAUAGAUUUCAAUUCCUCAUAUUUCAUCUAAAUUUUUGCUGAAAGUUUUGAAAAAUAAAAAGUCAUUUUUAUGGUAGAAGGGUUAGGAUUUCCAAAUCUCAAAGUUCAAAAAGAUUUUACACUCCAUUCUUUUAAAUUCUACACACUAAUAUUAUUGACACUUAAUAACCAUUAUAAUUUACUAUUUAUUAUUAAUCUUUGAUGUUAAUAAUAAAUAAUAAAUUUGUUAAUAAUAAAUAAAAAUUUAAAGUAUAUUAUAUUUGUUGAGGUGAUCAAAUUUUUUCAGUAAUAUCCAAUUUUGGAUUUAUAUGGUUGCUUUUAUUUCAAAUAAAGUACAAAUGUAAAUUUUUUAUUUCUUUAUUUUGUUUGCAAACCGCAAAACUUUUAAUUUUACAAUAUAAUUUCAAAUAGUGUACUGAAAUUGUAACAAAAUUUUAAAUUCAAUCAUUUUUACGCGUUUUUAUCCAUAGUUAACCCUGAAUAGUUAACUUACAAACAAAAUGACUGAAAAAGUUAGAUCUAAUUAAUACACUCAUAUUUAUUUUAUUUAUAAGUAAAAUUAUGUAAUGGACAAAAUAGUUGGAAUGAUUGAAUUACUAUUGAAAAAAAAGACGUGAUGGGUGAAAAUUUACAAACAAAUUAAAAUAUUCAAAUUUAAUAGAAAUACACAAUGUGAAAAUGAAUACGGUCUCUUUUGAAAAAUUUCAAAUUUGUUGUUAUUACUUCUAUCAUCUUAUAGAAGAGGAAUGAAAACCUAUAUUUUAAAUUGAUAAAAUAGUUUGAAUGAUGGAAUUGCUAUUACUAUAUAAAAAAUGAAAACUAUACUUACCGCAAUGUAAAAAUUGACAAACAUAUAAUGCAAUCGUCAAUCUUUAAAUCUCCAAAAAGAAAAAAUUGAUACACAGUAUAAGAACUUACAACUUCUACGAUCUUAUAGAAAAUAAAUUACCUCUUUUUUUUUUUUUUUUUUUUUGACAAAACUAAAAAGUUUAAAUAAGUAAACUUGUUUGUCUUGAAAUGACAAGCAAACCACAAUCUAAAAAUUUAACAAACAUAUUGCAAUCUUUUUGAAUUAGCAAAUGAGGUGUAUUUAUAGAUUAUGGCUAUACAAACAUUAUGCUUUUCCAAAUUCAUUUUAAUUUGUAACUAUAACUUAAUUAGUAAAUGCAAAAAGUUUUCUCCACCAAAUCACUUCCCUCAAUUAAUUGCAAACAUAAAAAAGCUUCAAUUUUAUAGUAUAAAUGUCCAUAAUUGAUUUUAAUUUUAAGAUUAAACAAUUAAUCUAAUUUUAAUUACAAGCCAUUAGCUUUAUUUAAAAAAAAAAAACUACAAAGAGUAGAGUAUAUUAAAUUUAAAUUUAUAAAAGAGCAUAGGUAUGAUCAAAUGAAGGGCAAAUUUGUUUAAAAAUGUUUUAGAUAUGAUAUUGAUGUAUAUAUGUAAUAUAGGGUAAGAUAUAUAUUAAGAUACAUCAAGCAUAUAUGAAUAUGAAUACGACAGAUAAUUACAUGUAAUAAUUUUAUACCUUUCUUGUCACAUUAACAUUUCAUGUCAAAUUAGAGAUAGAUAUCGUUUAACUUUUUCUCAUUAUUUUUCUCGUAAUUUUUCAAAAGUAAAAUGAAUUUUUUUUUACCCUUAACAGAAGAUAUGCUACUAAAAACAAAAUUUACUUGGUGUAAAUAAUUCUUUUAAUUUUUAUUCAAUAUAGAUGGAAUGUCUUAUAAAUAUAAUAUCGGCUAGAUUAUAAACUUCCUGUUUUUUACUUUGAGAUUGAUUUAUGUCAUUUAAUUGAUUUUAACUUUUCAUAAUUACACAUUUAAUGUCCAUAACUUUCAACUUUCUUUUUAAUUCAUAAAAGUGUGAACCGUUUAAAAUUUUAUAAAACACGAUAGAAUGAAGUAUAAAUUUAUUUUACUAAACUUACUGAAUUUAAUUUUUGAGGCAAACAAAUAUCUAAACUCAUUUAAAACAGUUCAAUACUUUUUUUUAUUGAAUGAAGAAUCGAAAACCAAAUGUGGAACUCUAAAGUUUUAGAUUUAAAAUAUUUGAGGCAGUAGCAAUGAAACACAUAAGGUACGAAAAGACAUUUAUUGGGUUUAGAUAAACAUAGAAUAUGGUUUAAAUGAAGUUGACUUUAGGGUUCAAAAAAUGGCAUUGGAAAUGCUUUAUUUAUUUAUUAAUCUUUGUUAGAGGCUUAUUUAGACGAUGCAAACGAGGCUCUUUUUGUCCUUUUUGAUUACUUCCACGUUGUGAUUCUUUAAACCAAAAGAACGUACACAUUAAUAUCCAUAAAAUCGUAUCAAACUUUAAACUCUAAUAAAAUAUUUCAUCGAUUUAGUGUUUUCUUUUUUAAAUAUUUGAGAUAUAUAUAAUAAAAAAGAAAAGAGAAUUUGUGGGAAGAUGUGGUUGGAUGAUUUAGUGGAUAGACACAUAGGGGGCCAUGGUUAUUGGUUAAUUUUAUAAGCUUAUAAAAGCAAAGGUUAUUGGUUAACCAUGGUUAGGAUAUAGGGAAUGUGGGUUUGGGUCACCACCAACCAAAAUCAGAGUAAAGAAUUUAGGUUUUUGGAUAGAUGGUAAGAUAGUCAAAAGUUUCGGCCCACUAAGCUUUUGUGGCCCAUUUUCAUGGUCCAAUAUAAUCCUCCAAAUACAGAUUAUACCCCUAAGUAACCAUUCUUCAUCAAAAUUUCUAUAUGUUAUGAAUUUACCAUGACAUCAACAUCAUUUAUGAGCUACGCAUUUCUAUUAUUUCUAUUAUAUCAUCAAGAAACAUUCAAAAUUAAAAAUUAAAAAGAAGUAGCAACAAAAUGUGUCAUUGUUGUAAAUAUACCAUAAAUAAUUGACAUAUCAACUUGUUUACAACCAACAAAUCUUAAGUUAUUAUUAUUUUUUUUGUUUUCAUAAAUUUUCUAAAAUUAUCCAUGGACUUUUUUUUUUAAUUUUUUUUAAUGUAAAAUUGAGUCCUCAAUAAUUUUGUUGACAUUAAUAUUUUAUACCUUGAUACCAUCCACUAUGGAACAUUAACAUAACAUUUUCAUCCAUCACAAAUUUUUAAGAUAGAGUUAGUCAAUUAAAUAAUUUGAUUAAUUUUAAUAACUAUUUGAUAUGUUAUUUUUAGUUUUUAAAAAUUAUAUUUGAUUUCUUUUACCUUAUUCAUUGUAGUUUUCAUCUUUUCUAACUUUACACUUGCAUUGUUUAGAAAUUACUUUUUCUAUUUUUCAAAGUUUUGCCUUGUUUUUUCUUAAAUGCGCAUAAAAAGUUAAUAACAGAAUUAAAGUUCAUUAGUAACCAUUUCACUUUAGUUUUUAGUUUUUGAACAUUAAGUCUAGUUUCACCUUUAAAUUUAUUGCCUUAUCAUCUACUUUGUUCCAUUGUUUUAAAAAAAUCAAACUAAGUUUUGAAACAUAAAAACGUAAUCUUUCAAAAGUUGUUUUCCGUUUGAAUUGAAUUUAAAAAAAUAUUUUUCAAGAAACUUAUUUUCUUAAAAACGGUUUAAAAUAUAAUUAAAAAUCUAUUUUGAAUAACUUUCAAACACUUUAAUCAUUUUUAAAAUAUUUUUUUUAAAAUUAAAUACUUGAAAAUGUAAUCCAAACAUAUUAUUUAAUUUUGAAAAAGUUAACCAUCGGUUCCGAAAAUAUAAAAAAGCUUAUAUAUGCAAAAUGUUAGCCAUUGGGAAAAAUUAAGGAUAAAUCUAGUUUUCGAAAACUAGAAAAAACAAAAUGAUUAAAAAAGUGGGGCUAAAUGAUUAUCAUACCUAACCUUUACAUUUCUCAACUUUCUAUGUUUUUUUCUAAAAUAAGGAAAAAUAAGUCAUUUUGAUAGCUUAUUUUCUUGUUUUUUUUUUACAAAUAAUUUAAAACUAAAAAUAUAAUUUUAUAUAAAAAAAUUCUUGCUUUCAAAAUAUUCCUACUAAUGUAAAAGUCACUAGUAUAGCAAAAUGAAAAAAAAAAAAAAAAACUUAUAAAAUAUAGUAAAUUUUAGAUUUAUAGAUAUUAUAAGUUGUCUCGUCAUUUACAACAAUUUUCUAUAUAUGUGUGAUUUUUGCAUUAACAAGGUUAAAACAGAUCCUAAUCCAUGGUUAAAUUACCUAAAGAAGGUAUCAAACCAAUGAAUUAGUAUUAAACAAAAACAUAUGAAGGUGUAAACAAAUUCACCCCUUUGAUCUCAAGCUAAGACAUUCCAAAUGAAAGGGUUUUUCUUUUACAAUCCACAACCAAGAAAUAAACAACACAAAGAAUAAAAACUUAGAGUAGAAAAGGAAGAAAAGAAGAAAAGAAAAUACAUCAAUAAUAUAUGUACACAUAGAAUGGGUUGAUUCAGUAAAAUCACUCGUCAGAGCCAUUAAGCACAUGAACCAAAGCUUGCAUCAUCCUCACCUUCAUUUGCAACCACACUAUAUAAUCGGCUGUCUCUCUAAAAAGACCAUUCAACUCCAUAGAUUCACUCUUUGGAACCAUCUUCUUCAGCCUCCUAAUCCUCUUCAAACAAAUCCUCUUCUCUGACGACCUUGACGACCUCGACACCAUCUCUACCUUCUUCUUGAUCACUUGUUUUGCAAUUCGCCUGUCUGAGACCGUAUCUUUUGCCAAAAUUUCCAUACCUCUCAAUUAAUUACUUAAACUAGCUAGAUCUCUUCAAAUCUUCAUGAUAAUUCAAAACAACAUCAAAUGAGGGGUUUUUAUAUGAUGAAAAAUGAAUUUCAAAAAGCUUAAAAGUUUUGAGAUUGUGAGGAUAAUGCAUAAAAUUUAGGGCAAAGGGACCACAAAACAUGCAAAAUAUAUAAUGUUGUCAACACAUGAAAAGGGGAAGUAUGUUUAGUUUUUUGAAGGGUUGGUUAUUCAAAAAAAUUGAAGUGUAUUUGUAAAAACUUAUAAUUAAGGAGCUAUAUAUUGGUAGCUGAUUAGCUUUUUUCAUGUUAGGGCUCAUGCAGCCACAUGAUUAUUUAUAUAUAGCCAAUUCCAACCCUAAAAAAGCCACCAUGUGUCAUCAAAGCAAGCUGGAUGAUUCCUUCUUCCCCCAUAUUUUUUCCAAAUUCAAUGAACAUUAUUUUUAUUCACAAAUUUUGGAUUUUUC